rnacentral:rRNA from 1 species
GACGAACGCUGGCGGCGUGCCUAAUACAUGCAAGUCGAGCGGACAGAAGGGAGCUUGCUCCCGGAAGUUAGCGGCGGACGGGUGAGUAACACGUGGGCAACCUACCCUGUAGAUCGGGAUAACAUCGAGAAAUCGGUGCUAAUACCGGAUAAUCAUUUGAAGUGCAUGCUUCGAAUGUAAAAGAUGGCUCCGGCUAUCACUACGGGAUGGGCCCGCGGCGCAUUAGCUGGUUGGUAAGGUAAUGGCUUACCAAGGCAACGAUGCGUAGCCGACCUGAGAGGGUGAUCGGCCUCACUGGGACUGAGACACGGCCCAGACUCCUACGGGAGGCAGCAGUAGGGAAUCUUCCGCAAUGGACGAAAGUCUGACGGAGCAACGCAGCGUGAGUGAUGAAGGUUUUCGGAUCGUAAAGCUCUGUUGUUAGGGAAGAACAAGUGCCGUUUGAAUAAGGCGGCACCUUGACGGUACCUAACCAGAAAGCCACGGCUAACUACGUGCCAGCCGCCGCGGUAACAC